rnacentral:rRNA from 1 species
CAGCACCUCAAGUGGUCAGGAUGAUUAUUGGGCCUAAAGCAUCCGUAGCCGGCUCUGUAAGUUUUCGGUUAAAUCUGUACGCUCAACGUACAGGCUGACGGGAAUACUGCAGAGCUAGGGAGUGGGAGAGGUAGACGGUACUCGGUAGGAAGGGGUAAAAUCCUUUGAUCUAUUGAUGACCACCUUUGGCGAAGGCGGUCUACCAGAACACGUCCGACGGUGAGGGAUGAAAGCUGGGGGAGCAAACCGGAUUAGAUACCCGAGUAGUCC